rnacentral:rRNA from 1 species
AUGGAUAAUUCUAUCACACCAUCCCAACUUCAACCAUCGGCACUAGAGGUGGAUAAGGAGGAUGGCAAGAUAAGCUUCUCCAAUAUGACGGAUGAACUAAAGUUGAUGGAUGAUUAUUUUGCAUCACUCCAACUACAACCAUCAUCGCUGGAGGUGGAGCAGGAGGAUGGCAAAGUGAGACAACAGAAGAAGAGGACAUCAACCAUGAGUGUGGUGACCGGGGUGAUGAGCACCCUUAGUGGCAAGCUUACCACUUUCAUCAACGAUGAGUACAAUAAGCGGAAAGAGGUAAGGAAGCAGGCGUCGUUCCUUGAGAAUGAGUUGAGCGCCAUACACGCUGCUCUUGAGCUGCCGGAGCUCAUGAAUGAGCUUGCUCCAGGGGUAAAAAAUUGGAGGGAUGAUCUCAGGGAGAUUUCCUAUGACAUGGAAAAUUGCAUUGAUGAUUUCAUCCGCCAAUUCGGGGGUGAGGAUGUUGAGGUAGGCUUUUUCACGGAGGCUGAUGAACUUCACAAGAGGUUGUGCGAGCUUCCUCGUAUUUCCAACCAGAUGGAAGAGCUUAAGACUCUUGCGGUAGAAGCAAAUGCUCGACGUGAGAGUUACAAGGUCGAUGAUUGCAAGCCUAGCUUUGGCCCCGUGGCUGUCGACGCUCGCAUGCCAGCGGUCUACCAGGAGGCGGCUAACCUUGUGGGCAUUGAAGGCCCUAGAGAAGAGGUUAUCCGUUGGUUGAUGAAUACUCAGAAAAAACUAAAGGUUGCGUCCAUUGUUGGUUUUGGAGGCUUGGGUAAAACUACACUUGCCAAACAAGUGUUUGACAAGAUCAAAGGGCAUUUUGAUUGUGUGGCAUUCUUUUCGGUUUCGCAGAGGCCUUAUUUGAGAGGGCUUCUCAAUCGCCUACAAUUGAAACUUGGGAUAAAUGUCUCUUCCCACGAUUGCGGGCUUGACGACAUCAUUGAAGAGCUAAGGAAGUAUCUCACAGAUAAAAGGUACCUUAUUAUAGUGGAUGACUUGUGGGAUCAAUCAGCCUGGAAUACUAUUAGUAGUGCUUUUCCAAAAAAUGGAAAUGGGAGUAGAAUAAUUGUAACCACACGAGUGGAAGAUGUGGCUGGUAUGGCCUGUCACAAUAACCGUGAGUGCAUUUAUACAAUGAAGCCCCUCAGUGAUCAGAACUCGAGAAAGUUAUUCUUCAAUAGGGUAUUUGGGCCCGAAGUUGUUUGCCCACGCUAUCUUGAAGACGUCGGGGCUGAAAUCCUGAAGAAGUGUGGUGGAUUGCUGCUUGCAGUUAUCACUAUAGCUAGCCUAUUAGCUACUCAACGGGGAUUAAGGAAAAAGUGGGAGAACAUAAGGAAUUCUUUGAGUGUCCAUUCCGCCACAAAUCCUUCAUUGAAAGAGAUGAAUAGUAUAUUAAACCUUAGCUACACACAUCUUCCUCUUCAUCUCCGAAGAUGUUUUUUGUACCUUGGUAUGUAUCCUGAGGACCACAUCAUAUGGCGAGAUGAUCUGAUUAAACAAUGGAUAGCUGAAGGCUUCGUCAGCAGUUUGCAUGGGUCAGAUUUGGAGGCUGUUGGCAGGAGUUAUUUCAAUGAGCUUGUCAAUAGAAGCAUGAUUCAGCCGGCAGAAACUGAGUAUGGAGAGGUGUUGUCUUGCAGAGUGCACGACAUGAUGCUUGAUUUGAUCCUAAGCAAGUGUGUAGAAGAUAAUUUUGUAAGUGUGGCAUACAAUUCUGAGGACAUGGCAAGACAGCUGCAUCUCUGCAAAUACAAGGUUCGCCGAUUAUCCCUGUGCUCCAAGGCUGUUGGUGGAGCAACAUAUGACACGGCUAUUGCUGCUAGGCUGUCACAAGUUCGAUCAUUACUGUUCAAUAAGCCUAUACUCCCUCUUUUGUGGUUCAAGUACCUCAGGGUUCUAAUCAUUUUGAAGGGGCACUAUGUGUCGGAGGAGAUAGUUGACCUCACCGCUGUUAGACAAUUGUUUUAG